rnacentral:rRNA from 1 species
AGCAGCCGCGGUAAUUCCAGCUCCAAUAGCGUAUAUUAAAGUUGCUGCAGUUAAAAAGCUCGUAGUUGAAUUUCGGGAUCAUCAUGUCGGUCGUGCCUCGGUACGUACUGGCAUUGUUGGUUUCUACCUUCUGACGAACCAUGAUGUCAUUUAUUUGGUGUCGUGGGAAAUCAGGACUGUUACUUUGAAAAAAUUAGAGUGUUUAAAGCAGGCUCACGCUUGAAUACAUUAGCAUGGAAUAAUGAAAUAGGACGUUUGAUUCUAUUUUGUUGGUUUCUAGGAUCGACGUAAUGAUUAAUAGGGAUAGUUGGGGGCAUUAGUAUUCAAUUGUCAGAGGUGAAAUUCUUGGAUUUAUUGAAGACUAACUACUGCGAAAGCAUUUGCCAAGGAUGUUUUUCAUUAAUCAAGAACGAAAGUUAGGGGAUCGAAGACGAUCAGAUACCGUCGUAGUCUUAACCAAUAAACUAUGCCGACUAGGGAUCGGAUGAUGUUAAUUUUUUAAUAGUACUCA